rnacentral:rRNA from 1 species
CCGACNGCGACCCCAGGUCAGGCGGGACUACCCGCUGAAUUUAAGCAUAUAAAUAAGCGG